rnacentral:rRNA from 1 species
AUUGAACGCUGGCGGCAGGCCUAACACAUGUAAGUCGAGCGGGGUUUUCGGACCUAGCGGCGGACGGGUGAGUAAUGCGUAGGAAGCUGCCCGAUAGAGGGGGAUACCAGUUGGAAACGACUGUUAAUACCGCAUAAUGUCUACGGACCAAAGUGUGGGACCUUCGGGCCACAUGCUACCGGAUGCGCCUACGUGGGAUUAGCUAGUUGGUGAGGUAAUGGCUCACCAAGGCGACGAUCUCUAGCUGGUUUGAGAGGAUGAUCAGCCACACUGGAACUGAGACACAGUCCAGACUCCUACGGGAGGCAGCAGUGGGGAAUAUUGGACAAUGGGCGCAAGCCUGAUCCAGCCAUGCCGCGUGUGUGAAGAAGGCCUUCGGGUUGUAAAGCACUUUCAGCGAGGAGGAAGGGGUGUGUGUUAAUAGUACACACCUUUGACGUUACUCGCAGAAGAAGCACCGGCUAACUCUGUGCCAGCAGCCGCGGUAAGAC